UACGAAGGGGGCUAGCGUUGCUCGGAAUCACUGGGCGUAAAGGGUGCGUAGGCGGGUCUUUAAGUCAGGGGUGAAAUCCUGGAGCUCAACUCCAGAACUGCCUUUGCUACUGAAGAUCUUGAGUUCGGGAGAGGUGAGUGGAACUGCGAGUGUAGAGGUGAAAUUCGUAGAUAUUCGCAAGAACACCAGUGGCGAAGGCGGCUCACUGGCCCGAUACUGACGCUGAGGCACGAAAGCGUGGGGAGCAAACAGG
rnacentral:rRNA from 1 species